UACGAAGGGUGCAAGCGUUACUCGGAAUUACUGGGCGUAAAGCGUGCGUAGGUGGUUUGUUAAGUCUGUUGUGAAAGCCCCGGGCUCAACCUGGGAAUGGCAAUGGAUACUGGCAAGCUAGAGUGCGGUAGAGGGUAGUGGAAUUCCCGGUGUAGCGGGUGAAAUGCGUAGAGAUCGGGAGGAACACCAGUGGCGAAGGCGGCUACCUGGACCAGCACUGACACUGAGGCACGAAAGCGUGGGGAGCAAACAGG
rnacentral:rRNA from 1 species